CUUUUGCUGGCGACCGGCGCACGGGUGAGUAACACGUAUCCAACCUGCCCUUUACUCGGGGAUAGCCUUUCGAAAGAAAGAUUAAUACCCGAUAGCAUAAUGAUUCCGCAUGGUUUCAUUAUUAAAGGAUUCCGGUAAAGGAUGGGGAUGCGUUCCAUUAGGUUGUUGGUGAGGUAACGGCUCACCAAGCCUUCGAUGGAUAGGGGUUCUGAGAGGAAAGUCCCCCACAUUGGAACUGAGACACGGUCCAA
rnacentral:rRNA from 1 species